GACGAACGCUGGCGGCGUGCUUAACACAUGCAAGUCGAACGGAAAGGCCCUGCUUGCAGGGUACUCGAGUGGCGAACGGGUGAGUAACACGUGGGUGAUCUGCCCUGCACUUCGGGAUAAGCCUGGGAAACUGGGUCUAAUACCGGAUAGGAGCCAUUUUUAGUGUGAUGGUUGGAAAGUUUUUUCGGUGUAGGAUGAGCUCGCGGCCUAUCAGCUUGUUGGUGGGGUAAUGGCCUACCAAGGCGGCGACGGGUAGCCGGCCUGAGAGGGUGGACGGCCACAUUGGGACUGAGAUACGGCCCAGACUCCUACGGGAGGCAGCAGGGGGGAAUAUUGCACAAUGGGCGCAAGCCUGAUGCAGCGACGCCGCGUGGGGGAUGACGGCCUUCGGGUUGUAAACUCCUUUCGCUAGGGACGAAGCUUUUUAUGACGGUACCUAGAGAAGAAGCACCGGCUAACUACGUG
rnacentral:rRNA from 1 species